ACGUACCUACCAUCUUGUCAGUUCGUCGAUGUUUUGCACUGAAGUAUUGUAUUCAAGACAGAAGAUAAUUUUCUCAAAUAUAUUUUAAGUGUAUAAUCUAUGGAUAAUUUUGUUGGCACAAUUAAACAUGGAGUUAAUAAGUACUAACUCUAUGCAAUUAAAUAAAUUAAUAUAAUGACCAUUUUAUGAUAAAAAAGAGGUACGUCACGUGUGGAGCGAACAUUUUAUUGAGGCUAAUGGGGCUCGGCUUUGUUUUCAUUCGUAGAAUACGACAAGCCACGAAUUUACCUUACUGAUGACCAAAUGAAAAUAACACAAUCUAAGUUUAAAAAAAAAUAAUGAACCUCCGAUUAAAAUGGAUAUCUUACGGCCGUUUUCAAUAACGUAUCUGAGUUUUCGGAUAGAUAGCUAUCUCCGAAUAUCAGCAAGAGCGUAUCUAUCCUUAGUUUGCGUUUCACAAUCACGGAUAAGUGCUAUCUCUCUUUAACCAACAGUAGAUAGCUUCUUCCCUCCGAUUUAUCCGAGCCUCUUGAUACGUUUCGUUCUACUACAAAUACGAAACAACAUCAGGAUCAAGACUUAUUUUAUUUUAUUCUAAAUUAUAACUAUAAUUUAACCAGCAUAUUGUAGACUAUCAUAAACACAUUUGUUUAUAAUAAAAAGUAAUAAAAACAUAUGUAGAUUUUUUUAAAUUGGACGUAUUGCUAUUUUUAUCCUAGUCGAAAUUAUGAAACGAAACGUUUUGACAGUCCGUUUGCCAAUAUGCAGUGAUCAGUUUCUUUUGUUUGUUUUUCUAUUGUUUACCUACUAUAUUAGAUGAUGACUUACCUCCAAAACGCUUUAAAACUUUCGUUUAUAAUUCUAAGUGUGUUUAUAAUUAAAGAGCUACAGUGAAAUAAAAUGAAUUCUUCAAGAAAGGCAGCACCCAUGACAAAAGAUGAGACGAUGAUUCUAGCAGAACUUGUGGCGGCGAAAAAACAUUUCAAUAAUAAGGCAACAAAUGCCACAAACAAUAAAUUGAAGGAGCAGGCUUGGCAAACCCUUGUAAAUGAUUUUAAUUCGUCUAUUCGUCGUUUCCCACGAACUCCAUCGCAGCUUCGACUAAAAUGGGAAAACUUAAAGAACGCUACGGCAACAUAAGAAACAACUUUAGUAAGGUUGGAGGUGGUAAGGAUUGCAGAUGAAAUUUUGGAUAAAGCAUGCACAUUGUUGUAGGUCACAUAUAAUAUUUUUAACACUUUUACAGCCAAGCGGAAACAAGAUGGAAGAAAAGAAAUGCAAGGCUAGCAUAGGGACAAUGCAUUAGCAGAAUAUCUAAUAGCAAAAAAGAGACUUGACUUGGAAAAUAAAGAAAAGGAGAUUGUUGUAGCAAAAGUUAAGUUAGAUUUAGAUAAUUUAAAAAAUUAAAAAUUACUUAAAAGGAAUAUUAAAUUUCAUAAAUUAAGUAGGCAAUAAUAAUUUUAUGUUAGAUAGUUUUUUAAGUGUAUGUACAAAUUCUAAAUUAAAUAUCUUGCAUGUACUAACUACCAUGUAAUUAUCAUUUUGGAAAAUAUAAAAUAAUCAAAUUA